rnacentral:rRNA from 1 species
GACGGAGGGUGCUAGCGUUGUUCGGAAUUACUGGGCGUAAAGGGCGCGUAGGCGGCUGCUCAAGUCGGGUGUGAAAGCCCGGGGCUCAACCCUGAAACUGCACUCGAUACUGCUCUGCUUGAGGACUGGAGAGGAGACUGGAAUUCACGGUGUAGCAGUGAAAUGCGUAGAUAUCUGGAGGAACACCGGUGGCGAAGGCGGCAUCCUGGACUACUACUGACGCUGAGGAGCGAAAGCCAGGGGAGCAAACGGG